AGUGGCAGACGGGUGAGUAAUGUAUAGGAAUCUACCUAGUAGUACGGAAUAAUUGUUGGAAACGGCAACUAAUACCGUAUACGCCCUACGGGGGAAAGAUUUAUCGCUAUUAGAUGAGCCUAUAUUAGAUUAGCUAGUUGGUAAGGUAAUGGCUUACCAAGGCAAUGAUCUAUAGCUGAUCUGAGAGGAUGAUCAGCCACACUGGAACUGAGAUACGGUCCAGACUCCUACGGGAGGCAGCAGUGGGGAAUAUUGGACAAUGGGCGAAAGCCUGAUCCAGCCAUGCCGCAUGAGUGAAGAAGGCCUUUGGGUUGUAAAGCUCUUUCGGUGAGGAAGAUAAUGACGGUACUCACAGAAGAAGUCCUGGCUAACUCCGUGCCAGCAGCCGCGGUAAUACGGAGAGGGCUAGCGUUAUUCGGAAUUAUUGGGCGUAAAGAGCGCGUANGCUGGUUAGUAAGUUAAAAGUGAAAUCCCAAAGCUCAACUUUGGAAUUGCUUUUAAAACUGCUAACCUAGAGAUUGAAAGAGGAUAGAGGAAUUCCUAGUGUAGAGGUGAAAUUCGUAAAUAUUANNAGGAACACCAGUGNCGA
rnacentral:rRNA from 1 species